CCUACGGGAGGCUGCAGUGGGGAAUAUUGCGCAAUGGGCGAAAGCCUGACGCAGCGACGCCGCGUGAGGGAUGAAGGUCUUCGGAUCGUAAACCUCUGUCAGCAGGGAAGAACGGUCACUGUGCUAAUCAGCAGUGAAUUGACGGUACCUGCAAAGGAAGCACCGGCUAACUCCGUGCCAGCAGCCGCGGUAAUACGGAGGGUGCGAGCGUUAAUCGGAAUUACUGGGCGUAAAGCGCGCGUAGGCGGUAUGUCAAGUCAAGGGUGAAAUCCCCGCGCUCAACGUGGGAACUGACUUUGAUACUGGCAGACUGGAGUGUGUGAGAGGAUAGUGGAAGUCGAGGUGUAGGAGUGAAAUCCGUAGAUAUCUGGAGGAACAUCAGUGGCGAAGGCGACUAUCUGGCACAUAACUGACGCUGAGGAGUGAAAGCGUGGGUAGCAAACAGGAUUAGAUACCCCAGUAGUC
rnacentral:rRNA from 1 species